GAUAUUUUAAAUGUGCCCUUUUUUCUGAUUAGACCUAAGUUACAAAUUUUCCAUUGCCGAAACUUUUUGGAGGACUUGUAGAAAGACUUUCUCCUGUUGCCUUGCUGACGUGAGCUGAGCCAGACGUAGGCUCUAGUGCAUUUCAUUAAAAUUUUGCUCCACAUAUGCUCCGCUGUUUGGGCCACUCUGAGGAGGAAAGGGUAAUUUACCCCUCUUUGCUGUUACCCUCAUGGAUUUCAGCGAGCUGUAACAGACAGAGUUCAGAUAAUGAAAAGUGAACCCUUAUGAAUUCUUCUUUUCUCAGUGUAAAAAUACUUUUGCCUUGUGAUUGUUCAAUGUUAAAUUUUUUCUUUUCUUUUCUUUCUGAGUUCCUGAAGCCUGGACUGUGGCAUUGCUCCUUGUUGAGCAACUACCUUCAGUGCCAUCACCCAUACUUAGAGCAGCUUCCUUAAUACAAAAUUUAGUUCCUUGGACAUUUUGACAUUUACGGUGGCUAGAUGUGGGAAGAUUGCAAUGAAGCAUUCCCAAAUGUUGUCUAAUUGCAGGUGGAGAGUGGAAGUUUCACACUCAUUUUACACACUUAUAAGCCCAUCUGCGAUUUGUAGCUGUGGAGUUCUAGAGUUCUGUUAGGACCAGCCUCGGAUAUCUUACAUCCUGAUCAGUGGAGCCUUAGUCCAACUACAGCCUUCCUCUACAGCUGAGGAAGGUCCAAGAUAGAGGGUCAUGGGACAUUCUCUUAUAUGCCUCCCCUCCCCCAUAUGCUGCUGUGUCCAGUGUUGCAGUGACCCCCUGUACAUUAUUGGAUAAAUGGAAGCUAUGGGUGAAGAACUGAUGACUCUAAACCGUGCUAGGCAUAGCACACUCUUCUGCACUUCAAAUCCCAUCCCCGCUGCUUUCAGUGCUCCUACAAAUUGGCUUUUAAAUCCUGGCUCUGCCCUAAGCAAAGUCAAGCCCAAUCACGUGAUGGUUUUGUGAUGUAGAGAUAAUUGUCCGGUGGCUAAAGGUUGUCACUACCAAACUCAUUCUUUCUUAUGUGAUUUUUAACUGUGCUAGAGCCCAGGUUGUUAACCAGCCUUCAGCCAUACUUCAGGCUCUUUAAAGGUUGUGAGGAAAAAGUCAAAUCACACAGAAAUUUGAUACGGUGGUUCUUUUCCUUUAACAAGGUAAAGUAAUACACCAAUUCUUAAUUCCCCUUGGGGAGUCAAAUGUCCUUCCAGCAUACAUGAUUUUAAUAAGUAAAAAUAAUUUUUUUUCUUUAAAAUGUGUAAGUAAAGUUGGCUGACAGAAAUAAAGGUAAACUCCAUUUAACUUUUAUCCUGAUCAACUGAAGUUCUUGGUUUAUAAAAAUGCAGCUAUUUUCUUGCUGUGUGUGGCGCCAUAGGACUUCUUUCCUGUACAUCCAUACUCCAUUUAUGUGAAUGUUUUGGAUAUUUGUAUUAGUUUAACACACUUUGAAAAUAAAUCUGUUGUAGCCAUGUAAGAAGUCUCUCGUGUAGUGUAAAGUAUUGGUAAAUUAGCUUAGAUUUGAUCUCUCCCUUCUCCAUGGAGCUUCCAACAUAAAAGAAACAACCUCUCUCCUUCUUUGAUGCUGCAAUUCCUAUUUUAUUAGAAUUUUUUACAAUUGAAAAAUUUUAAAAUAAAGAGAUAACACAAACGAAAAAGUUUGAAAUAUCCACUGAUACUACAACAUGCUGCAGAUAGAUCACUUAUAGCUGCUGACAGUUAAGAGUUCGAUCAAUUUCUUUAUCGUCAAUAUGCAACGAAAUGUGUCAACUUUUCCCCCUUGUUUCUAGGUUCCCUUGUAUUCCUGGAAGUUGUUUGUAUUCAAAUCGUCUAGCAGUCUAUGUUUGUCUCUAUCACAAGUGGUGAUAUUUUUCAUUAAGUAUUAUGUCCAAUAUGCAACAUGUUACUUCUUACCUGGCUCAGAAAACAGUGUUUUAGAGGUGACUGGGGAAGUACUUUAGAGUAAUACGAUUCUUUCUUUAAAACCAAAACAAAGCAAUCAAACCAUAUUACCUUUUAUUAAUCUGUACAGUAAAUUUCACAGAACUGAUUUCACAAUGAAGAAUAUCAAUAAAAGAAAAUAAAUGAUUAAAAACAGCUGCUUAAACAUACUGGAAACUUAUUUACACAGAUAUUAAAGCAAACAUUUAAAGCAAAACAA